GAAAUGCGAUAAGUAAUGUGAAUUGCAGAAUUCAGUGAAUCAUCGAAUCUUUGAACGCACCUUGCGCUCCUUGGUAUUCCUUGGAGCAUGCCUGUUUGAGUAUCAUGAAAUCUUCAAAGUAAAUCUUUUGUUAACUCAAUUGGUUUCUACUUUGGUAUUGGAGGUCUUUGCAGCUUCACACCUGCUCCUCUUUGUUCAUUAGCUGGAUCUCAGUGUUAUGCUUGGUUCCACUCGGCGUGAUAAGUUAUCUAUCGCUGAGGACACUGUAAAAGGUGGCCAAGAUAAAUGCAGAUGAACUGCUUCUAAUAGUCCAUUGACUUGGACAAUACUUUUAUGAUCUGAUCUCAAAUCAGGUAGGACUACCCGCUGAACUUAAGC
rnacentral:misc_RNA from 1 species